rnacentral:rRNA from 1 species
UACAGAGGGUGCAAGCGUUAAUCGGAUUUACUGGGCGUAAAGGGCGCGUAGGUGGUAGCGUAAGUGAGUUGUGAAAUCCCCGGGCUUAACCUGGGAACUGCAACUUAUACUGUGUUACUUGAGUGCAAUAGAGGGUAGUGGAAUUUCCGGUGUAGCGGUGAAAUGCGUAGAUAUCGGAAGGAACACCAGUGGCGAAGGCGGCUACCUGGAUUGACACUGACACUGAGGCGCGAGAGCGUGGGGAGCAAACAGG